ensembl:lncRNA
AAAAUGCAAAACAUAAAGACAAAGAACUGUUUGCUGACCUUUUGACCUUUAGAUAAAUAAUCUGGUUGUUAUAUUAUACAAUAUGUGACAUUUUGUUGCUUAUCCACAACAUUCACAGCAUUCGACUGUAGAUCUGUGACCACUGUGUAUUGAAUAACUAGAUAGAACAUAUUGUGGUGUCAUAGGGCCCCAGUGAUCUAAUGGACAAUAGAAUUCCCUACAGGAAGGUGAUGAAGAAAAUAAAGAAUGGGAAAUUAAAGGUUUCAUAUGCUAAUUGCUUUUUGUAUUUAUCUGGUUUUUUUUUUAUUUCAUUUCAAUUUCAUUCAGUGUGCAUUUUGUAAUUUCUCUUUUCAAAACAUGGAUUAAUGAGGAUUUUCUGUCUUUUAGGGCUUGGCAUUUGUACUGUGUUGACUGCAGGAAGUCCACUAGGUCAAAGACUUGUUUAUUGUCAUGGAAAUAGAAACGUUAAUUAGGACAAGGGGUGUCAACUACAAGACCGAGAAGGUAUAUAUGAUUAUAACUUCACACAACCAAUGAGAACUUGUUUCGUAGUUUUGGACAAUUUGCAUACAUGAUAUAAUGAAGGUUUUUUUUUUUUCAGUUUAUAUACCAUAUUCUCCUUUUGUCCUCAGGAUGGAGACUUCUCUAAUGCCAGCUCUCAAGAUGUUUGCUCUGCUUGCAUAUAUUCUUUUGUCUUGCAUAUUAUGUGUAUCUAUGAUCCCCAGUGUUUUUCAGCCAAAUGUCUCAAUCACAGCAUCAGUGGGUGGUUCGGUCAUCCUGGAAUGCCACACAACUGCUGAUCUGGUUGUGGCCUGGUUUUGGCUAAAACAAAUCCCAGGACAAAAGUUGAACCCUAUAGUUUCUACAUAUUACCAGGAGAUAAAACUUCAAGAGGAAUUUCUCAAUGAAUCAAGACUUCAAUUCAAAGUUGAC